AUGGGUUCAGUAUCUGAGCUAACGCAUUAAGUAUUCCACCUGGGAAGUACGAUCGCAAGGUUGAAACUCAAAGGAAUUGACGGGGGCCCGCACAAGCAGUGGAGCAUGUGGUUUAAUUCGAUGCAACGCGAAGAACCUUACCUAGGCUUGAAAAGUAGAUUAAAGCAGAUGAAAGUCUGUGUGUAGCAAUACGAAUCUACACAGAUGCUGCAUGGCUGUCGUCAGCUCGUGCCGUGAGGUGUUGGGUUAAGUCCCGCAACGAGCGCAACCCUUGUCCUUAGUUGCCAUCGAGUAAUGUCGGGCACUCUAAGGAGACUGCCUACGCAAGUAGUGAGGAAGGUGGGGAUGACGUCAAGUCCGCAUGGCUCUUACGCCUAGGGCCACACACGUGCUACAAUGGCAACUACAAAGGGCAGCGAGACCGCAAGGUGGAGCCAAUCCCUAAAAAGUUGUCUCAGUUCGGAUUGGAGUCAGCAACUCGACUCCAUGAAGUUGGAAUUGCUAGUAAUCGCGCAUCAGCUCGGCGCGGUGAAUACGUUCCCGGGCCUUGUACACACCGCCCGUCAAGCCAUGGAAGUUGGAAGUACCCAAAGUCGCCUUUAAAAAGCGCCUAAGGUAAAGUCAAUGACUGGGGCUAAGUCGUAACAAGGUAGCC
rnacentral:rRNA from 1 species